rnacentral:rRNA from 1 species
GGGUUGUGAGGUUAAGCGACUAAGCGUACACGGUGGAUGCCCUGGCAGUCAGAGGCGAUGAAGGACGUGCUAAUCUGCGAUAAGCGUCGGUAAGGUGAUAUGAACCGUUAUAACCGGCGAUUUCCGAAUGGGGAAACCCAGUGUGUUUCGACACACUAUCAUUAACUGAAUCCAUAGGUUAAUGAGGCGAACCGGGGGAACUGAAACAUCUAAGUACCCCGAGGAAAAGAAAUCAACCGAGAUUCCCCCAGUAGCGGCGAGCGAACGGGGAGCAGCCCAGAGCCUGAAUCAGUGUGUGUGUUAGUGGAAGCGUCUGGAAAGGCGCGCGAUACAGGGUGACAGCCCCGUACACAAAAAUGCACAUGCUGUGAGCUCGAUGAGUAGGGCGGGACACGUGGUAUCCUGUCUGAAUAUGGGGGGACCAUCCUCCAAGGCUAAAUACUCCUGACUGACCGAUAGUGAACCAGUACCGUGAGGGAAAGGCGAAAAGAACCCCGGCGAGGGGAGUGAAAAAGAACCUGAAACCGUGUACGUACAAGCAGUGGGAGCACGCUUAGGCGUGUGACUGCGUACCUUUUGUAUAAUGGGUCAGCGACUUAUAUUCUGUAGCAAGGUUAACCGAAUAGGGGAGCCGAAGGGAAACCGAGUCUUAACUGGGCGUUAAGUUGCAGGGUAUAGACCCGAAACCCGGUGAUCUAGCCAUGGGCAGGUUGAAGGUUGGGUAACACUAACUGGAGGACCGAACCGACUAAUGUUGAAAAAUUAGCGGAUGACUUGUGGCUGGGGGUGAAAGGCCAAUCAAACCGGGAGAUAGCUGGUUCUCCCCGAAAGCUAUUUAGGUAGCGCCUCGUGAAUUCAUCUCCGGGGGUAGAGCACUGUUUCGGCAAGGGGGUCAUCCCGACUUACCAACCCGAUGCAAACUGCGAAUACCGGAGAAUGUUAUCACGGGAGACACACGGCGGGUGCUAACGUCCGUCGUGAAGAGGGAAACAACCCAGACCGCCAGCUAAGGUCCCAAAGUCAUGGUUAAGUGGGAAACGAUGUGGGAAGGCCCAGACAGCCAGGAUGUUGGCUUAGAAGCAGCCAUCAUUUAAAGAAAGCGUAAUAGCUCACUGGUCGAGUCGGCCUGCGCGGAAGAUGUAACGGGGCUAAACCAUGCACCGAAGCUGCGGCAGCGACNAGAAGCAGCCAUCAUUUAAAGAAAGCGUAAUAGCUCACUGGUCGAGUCGGCCUGCGCGGAAGAUGUAACGGGGCUAAACCAUGCACCGAAGCUGCGGCAGCGACACUAUGUGUUGUUGGGUAGGGGAGCGUUCUGUAAGCCUGUGAAGGUGUGCUGUGAGGCAUGCUGGAGGUAUCAGAAGUGCGAAUGCUGACAUAAGUAACGAUAAAGCGGGUGAAAAGCCCGCUCGCCGGAAGACCAAGGGUUCCUGUCCAACGUUAAUCGGGGCAGGGUGAGUCGACCCCUAAGGCGAGGCCGAAAGGCGUAGUCGAUGGGAAACAGGUUAAUAUUCCUGUACUUGGUGUUACUGCGAAGGGGGGACGGAGAAGGCUAUGUUGGCCGGGCGACGGUUGUCCCGGUUUAAGCGUGUAGGCUGGUUUUCCAGGCAAAUCCGGAAAAUCAAGGCUGAGGCGUGAUGACGAGGCACUACGGUGCUGAAGCAACAAAUGCCCUGCUUCCAGGAAAAGCCUCUAAGCAUCAGGUAACAUCAAAUCGUACCCCAAACCGACACAGGUGGUCAGGUAGAGAAUACCAAGGCGCUUGAGAGAACUCGGGUGAAGGAACUAGGCAAAAUGGUGCCGUAACUUCGGGAGAAGGCACGCUGAUAUGUAGGUGAGGUCCCUCGCGGAUGGAGCUGAAAUCAGUCGAAGAUACCAGCUGGCUGCAACUGUUUAUUAAAAACACAGCACUGUGCAAACACGAAAGUGGACGUAUACGGUGUGACGCCUGCCCGGUGCCGGAAGGUUAAUUGAUGGGGUUAGCCGCAAGGCGAAGCUCUUGAUCGAAGCCCCGGUAAACGGCGGCCGUAACUAUAA